rnacentral:rRNA from 1 species
GAGUUUGAUCAUGGCUCAGAUUGAACGCUGGCGGCAGGCCUAACACAUGCAAGUCGAGCGGAUGAAGGGAGCUUGCUCCUGGAUUCAGCGGCGGACGGGUGAGUAAUGCCUAGGAAUCUGCCUGGUAGUGGGGGAUAACGUCCGGAAACGGGCGCUAAUACCGCAUACGUCCUGAGGGAGAAAGUGGGGAGUCUUCGGACCUCACGCUAUCAGAUGAGCCUAGGUCGGAUUAGCUAGUUGGUGGGGUAAAGGCCUACCAAGGCGACGAUCCGUAACUGGUCUGAGAGGAUGAUCAGUCACACUGGAACUGAGACACGGUCCAGACUCCUACGGGAGGCAGCAGUGGGGAAUAUUGGAUAAUGGGCGAAAGCCUGAUCCAGCCAUGCCGCGUGUGUGAAGAAGGUCUUCGGAUUGUAAAGCACUUUAAGUUGGGAGGAAGGGCAGUAAGUUAAUACCUUGCUGUUUUGACGUUACCAACAGAAUAAGCACCGGCUAACUUCGUGCCAGCAGCCGCCG